rnacentral:rRNA from 1 species
AUUGAACGCUGGCGGCAUGCCUUACACAUGCAAGUCGAACGGCAGCACGGGAGCAAUCCUGGUGGCGAGUGGCGAACGGGUGAGUAAUAUAUCGGAACGUGCCCAGUCGUGGGGGAUAACGCAGCGAAAGCUGUGCUAAUACCGCAUACGAUCUACGGAUGAAAGCGGGGGAUCGCAAGACCUCGCGCGGUUGGAGCGGCCGAUAUCAGAUUAGCUAGUUGGUGAGGUAAAGGCUCACCAAGGCGACGAUCUGUAGCUGGUCUGAGAGGACGACCAGCCACACUGGAACUGAGACACGGUCCAGACUCCUACGGGAGGCAGCAGUGGGGAAUUUUGGACAAUGGGCGCAAGCCUGAUCCAGCAAUGCCGCGUGCAGGAUGAAGGCCUUCGGGUUGUAAACUGCUUUUGUACGGAACGAAACGGCGAGCUCUAAUACAGUUUGCUAAUGACGGUACCGUAAGAAUAAGCACCGGCUAACUACGUGCCAGCCGCCGCUGUAAUAC